GACGAACGCUGGCGGCGUGCUUAACACAUGCAAGUCGAACGAUGAUGCCCAGCUUGCUGGGUGGAUUAGUGGCGAACGGGUGAGUAACACGUGAGUAACCUGCCCCUGACUCUGGGAUAAGCGUUGGAAACGACGUCUAAUACUGGAUAUGAUCGCCGGCCGCAUGGUCUGGUGGUGGAAAGAUUUUUUGGUUGGGGAUGGACUCGCGGCCUAUCAGCUUGUUGGUGAGGUAAUGGCUCACCAAGGCGACGACGGGUAGCCGGCCUGAGAGGGGGACCGGCAACACUGGGGCUGAGACACGGCCCAGACUGCUACGGGAGGCAGCAGUGGGGAAUAUUGCAUAAUGGGCGAAAGCCUGAUGCAGAAACGCCGCUGGAGGGAUGACGGCCUUCGGGUUGUAAACCUCUUUUAGUAGGGAAGAAGCGAAAGCGACGGUACCUGCAGAAAAAGCACCGGCUAACUACGUGCCAGCAGCCGCCGUAA
rnacentral:rRNA from 1 species